AGUCCCGUAGGGUAGUGGUCAAUCCUUUCGGCCUUUGGAGCCGAAGACCGUGGUUCGAAUCCGCGCGGGACUACCA
rnacentral:tRNA from 1 species